AACGCUAGCUACAGGCUUAACACAUGCAAGUCGAGGGGCAGCAUGGUCUUAGCUUGCUAAGGCCGAUGGCGACCGGCGCACGGGUGAGUAACACGUAUCCAACCUGCCGUCUACUCUUGGACAGCCUUCUGAAAGGAAGAUUAAUACAAGAUGGCAUCAUGAGUCCGCAUGUUCACAUGAUUAAAGGUAUUCCGGUAGACGAUGGGGAUGCGUUCCAUUAGAUAGUAGGCGGGGUAACGGCCCACCUAGUCUUCGAUAGAUAGGGGUUCUGAGAGGAAGGUCCCCCACAUUGGAACUGAGACACGGUCCAAACUCCUACGGGAGGCAGCAGUGAGGAAUAUUGGUCAAUGGGCGAGAGCCUGAACCAGCCAAGUAGCGUGAAGGAUGACUGCCCUAUGGGUUGUAAACUUCUUUUAUAAAGGAAUAAAGUCGGGUAUGCAUACCCGUUUGCAUGUACUUUAUGAAUAAGGAUCGGCUAACUCCGUGCCAGCAGCCGCGGUAAUACGGAGGAUCCGAGCGUUAUCCGGAUUUAUUGGGUUUAAAGGGAGCGUAGAUGGAUGUUUAAGUCAGUUGUGAAAGUUUGCGGCUCAACCGUAAAAUUGCAGUUGAUACUGGAUAUCUUGAGUGCAGUUGAGGCAGGCGGAAUUCGUGGUGUAGCGGUGAAAUGCUUAGAUAUCACGAAGAACUCCGAUUGCGAAGGCAGCCUGCUAAGCUGCAACUGACAUUGAGGCUCGAAAGUGUGGGUAUCAAACAGGAUUAGAUACCCUGGUAGUCCACACGGUAAACGAUGAAUACUCGCUGUUUGCGAUAUACGGCAAGCGGCCAAGCGAAAGCGUUAAGUAUUCCACCUGGGGAGUACGCCGGCAACGGUGAAACUCAAAGGAAUUGACGGGGGCCCGCACAAGCGGAGGAACAUGUGGUUUAAUUCGAUGAUACGCGAGGAACCUUACCCGGGCUUAAAUUGCAGAUGAAUUACGGUGAAAGCCGUAAGCCGCAAGGCAUCUGUGAAGGUGCUGCAUGGUUGUCGUCAGCUCGUGCCGUGAGGUGUCGGCUUAAGUGCCAUAACGAGCGCAACCCUUGUUGUCAGUUACUAACAGGUUCCGCUGAGGACUCUGACAAGACUGCCAUCGUAAGAUGUGAGGAAGGUGGGGAUGACGUCAAAUCAGCACGGCCCUUACGUCCGGGGCUACACACGUGUUACAAUGGGGGGUACAGAGGGCCGCUACCACGCGGGUGGAUGCCAAUCCCCAAAACCUCUCUCAGUUCGGACUGGAGUCUGCAACCCGACUCCACGAAGCUGGAUUCGCUAGUAAUCGCGCAUCAGCCACGGCGCGGUGAAUACGUUCCCGGGCCUUGUACACACCGCCCGUCAAGCCAUGGGAGCCGGGGGUACCUGAAGUGCGUAACCGCGAGGAGCGCCCUAGGGUAAAACUGGUGACUGGGG
rnacentral:rRNA from 1 species